UGAAGUGAGUGCUGAGGGAAGGUCUCUGCCGUUUCCAAGCUCUCUCUGCUCGGCCAGUUGCUGAGGUGAACGGCCAUCAGAGGCAUGUUUUGAAAGCUGAGUCUCAUCUGGGAUGUCUGGCCCCUGCACUUACCUUAUGCCGUCCUUCUCUGCAGAGGCCAGCUCGGGUCCGGGGGCAGGGGAAGAGCAGGCUAUCUGAUCUUGAGCUGAGCCAGGGAUGAGAAGCUAGACUCCAAGUUUUUCAGCUUAACAGAUUCCUGGCUGUUUGGCCACAGAUCUUCCCCCCUCAGCUACAGUAACAUGCUGUGUGGGACUCAGGACAAAAGCCUCUUCAAUUCUGGCAGUGUUUGCUGCACAUGGUGUCCAUAUCCAAACCGCGUCAAACUCCUGUGUUUGUUUCUGAAGUCUUUACAGACCUCUUCAAAACUGACAACGCUCCAGCAUUUCACUGAAGGAAACCCUGGGCAAGCCUGCUGUCUUUGAGAUGGUUUUCUUUUAUCCAGCACUUCCGUGCUUUUGGAACAGAUAUCUUCAAUGCAGUGUCUGGCUAUGUAUAUGACUACGGAGCUAGUACAGGGGAACAGGCUUCAUCAUUCAUAAUCCUGUCUAUCACUCCUGUCUAUCAUUCUUGGGAUGGACAUAAUGGUGUUGGCUGGUAAGGCUGCACAUCUGCCUUCACACAGAGACCAUCAGGAAGCCAAAUAAAGAGGAGUGAGAACUCACCUGAGUGGCCUGCCUGGGCGCAGCUGACUCUGCAGCCGGACUCUGCGAUUGUCCCCAGCAACCCCACCAUUGUAGCAAGCUUGCUAGCAGCACUCAUAAUCUUUUUCUCAGCUCUGGGGGUAAUUCCAGGAUAUAAAAUUAAAACAGUUUAAAUAAAAAACACGAGACUCCUCAGCCCUGGGACUGUUUCCUAAUGCCUCUGCCAACAGGGAGGGAAGCCCGGCCUAAGCCUCUCUAUGACCACAGAACCAGUCCUGUGGUUCAGGGAAUGACGGCGCACCGUCCGGGUGCAGUCUGGCCUCGAAGUGUACACUGAACUCACCCCUCUUCCUUCCCAUUAUCCUCCAAGAUCUGCUGAAGGCAACUCAGGUAGUACUUGUGCAUCUUCCGGGCAGUGUCCUGCCGCUCCCGCAACACUUCUGCCUUCACCAUCUCCGUGGCCCUUUCCUUGCUCUCCUGAAUGUAACGAAGCAUGUCACCUGCGGGCGGUGAAGAAACCAAUUUGGUAGACUCGAAAGAAAAGCGCUCUAGACUUACGAUGGUGACAGCUGCACAUGGGCAGGAACACAACCUAUCUUGUCACAUUCUGAAGGACUUGGGUAGAAGAACACAGUGAGCAGAAGCAUGUGUUCUGUUGUUCCUCGUGAUUCAAGGAGAGAAAAGAAAUACCCAGAAAGAGAGAACAGAAAGGUGACGGCGGAAAGGAAGACGACCUCGCUCGUCUCCUGUGCCCGAAAGGCUCCGGUCUAUCUUUAACCAAUGCUCAGUAGCAUUUACAAAACAGGACUAAACUCACGGGGUGAUGUAGAAGAUGUUUUGCAGAGUGGGAAGAAUCAUAUUCCCUUCUGAAAUUCACAGAAACUCAUAAUCGUACCUUCAUCUUCAUCGACACGACUUCCACUUGAAGCUAACUUAAAAACUAAAUCUAUAACUACAUUCUGCAUCUAGACUCUGCCACUUAGCUACAGCAGGAAUGCUGGCUCACACAGGAACUGACUGCCAGUGACAGCAAGCAUCUGAAAACCCCAUGUUAUACGUGCAGAUGCUAGGGUCCACUUUUCCUUCCGUGAAAUGGGAAAAAUUAAAGUGAAGUUGCCACAUGACCUCUAGCUACCCUUCUAAAAGUUAGAACACAGGAGUAUUCACUCUGGAGACAACCUGGAGAUGCUCUUACAAGUUGGACAGAACUGGCAAGGCCCUGGCAAAUUCACAGCUGUUUGAAAUAAGGAAAAAUGAUCCUGGCUGGAUUCAUCUUCACAGUCCUGAGUCUACGGUAGGACGUACUGCCGAUCUCACUCAGGUGACACCUCCUCUCUCCUUCCCGGCUCUGUCCCUCCCUCUGCACAGGCUGCGGAGGUCCUGCCUCUUAGCCUACCUCAAUCUUUGUGUGUUAUGUUCUACAAGUUACUGAUGCUGUAAAGAUAUUACAUUUUAAGAUAGCUUGAUUCUAAUGUCUAAACAAAAACUAAAAAGUUGAUAAUCAACAAUAUACAGGCAACAGACACACACACACACAACACACACACACACACACACACACACACACACACACA